rnacentral:rRNA from 1 species
UACGAAGGGGGCUAGCGUUGCUCGGAAUCACUGGGCGUAAAGGGUGCGUAGGCGGGUCUUUAAGUCAGGGGUGAAAUCCCGGGGCUCAACCCCGGAACUGCCUUUGAUACUGGGUGUCUAGAGUAUGGAAGAGGUGAGUGGAAUUCCGAGUGUAGAGGUGAAAUUCGUAGAUAUUCGGAGGAACACCAGUGGCGAAGGCGGCUCACUGGUCCAUUACUGACGCUGAGGCACGAAAGCGUGGGGAGCAAACAGG